CCGGGCGGCUCUCCGAGCAGCGCUCGGCGGCCUCUUGGGCAGCGCGUCCCUUGCCGUUGCCGGACGUCGGGCGGCAGCCCCCGUCGCCCUUCCCCUCUCGGAGACCCCCUUCGCGGCGGGGCCGGCUGGCGGGUCUCGCCAGAGGCCCCUGUGGCGGGUCCGGCCCCCCGUUCCUCCUCCGGUGAGCAGAAGGACUGCGACCGGAGGGACGGUGUCCUUUCCUGUUCGGAGGUGACCCCGGCCGACGCGGGACUCGCCGAGCAAACGCCGCCUCCCCCCACGGUGCGGUGGAAGGGCAGAGGCAAGGGGGCUCCGGCGCUCCCGGCGAUAGAUCUCGCAGAGCCGAAGAGCGCCUUCCGAAUAGUCCGUUAAGCCCUGCGUGGAAUCCGGCUGUCGUGUCCCCGCCGGGGCGACUCUGGUCUGGAGAGCUGCUCUCGAGGGGCUUUCAAAGACAGGAAGCAGAUUGGGCUCCCACUGUUGUCUGCGCGAUCUGGAGGGAUUGAAAAUUCAAGAACGGGAAAAGAAGGAAUUAACUCCCUGUUCUCCAGCAUGCUGCUGACCCAAGCUUCCUGGGUCUUUGACUUUGAUUCACCUGAAGCAAAAUCGUGGAAGAGAGCCUGGCAUGUUACGGGAGCUCUCCCAAAUACUGCUAACUUCAGUUUUUCAUUGGUCGUGCCCCAUGCUCCAGCCAAGGGAACACACAUUCUCCUCUUAAUUCUUUUACUAGUUCUGGAUCUAGGACGUUAGUUACUGCCCCUUGUGUCCAACGUCCUACAUGGAGAGAGGGAGGGAGGAUUAAGUCGAAUUAUGGCUUGCUUGCUCUUCAUCCGGGGAAUGCCUCUGGAUCCAAAGCUUCCACUUUGCAUACAGGUGGCUGCAGGCAAUGUAGCUGCCUGGAGAUCAGCUGUUUCCCCGGGCUGGGAGGUCUUCCCACAGAGAUGGAAUAAGUUGUGGACCUGGGCUCGCAGGUGCUUUUUUAACUUGGAAACUGUAGGUGCACUGGAGCUUGUAAUAAGGAAGCAGAAAAGUGGCUUCUUAUCUUUUCAAUAACUUCCUCUUCCUGCUGAAGCCAGUUCUGCUUGCUUCAGAUUGGGGGGAAUGUCUGGCCUGAGUGGAUGUGGAAACUGGAAGCCCCGGUGUUCAAACUGGGAUCCAGGCCAGCCUUGGGCUUUAGCAGCAGGGAGCCUCCUCUGGUGCUGACCGAUUCUGAGAUGAGUCCCUUUCUGACUCGCAGGGUGUUCUGCUCCUUUGUCCAGCCCGCUUGAAGGUCCUCAGCAGAGGGCAAAUUAGGCUCUGGUUUUGCAGCAUGCUGUUGGCAGUCUCCUUGUUGCCUGACUAGGCCACACAGGGGACUUCCUUGGAGGGAUUCAGGAGUCUUGGCCUCCCCCAUUUGCCCUGCAGCUGUUGGCUUGCAGAGAGCUCGGCAGUGGUGGUAAGCUUCCUUCUGCUUCUGCCCUCAUGGACUUCUUUCUUCAGCCAUGGCCCUCCUGCUCAGGGAGACAGACUGAUUGGGGAGGAGGGGAGAGCAGAACUUGCUGGUCGUUAAGGCCCUUGAGGAGGGUCUGUAGGGAUCAGGCCAGAUUCUGCAGCCACUGACCAUGAGCCUUGGGCAGAUUGGAGGCUUCUGUCCAAGACCCACGUAAAAUUUGGGCCAACUGAUUCAGGAGAAUCAAAGUCAGCAUUAAAUGAAGUUGUAGUUUUGCCUUUACUCUAGUUGUGCACGAGAGUAUCAGAAGUCUGCAUGCCUCUCAGUUUCUUUAGCGUUUAUUGAUGUACGAGACUUUGGGACGAGCAUUUCUGGCAGCUGCUUUUUCUGCUUGCGCAAGAGACAGGUUGGGACUGGAAACUGGCUGAGGAAUAUGUCAAUAUCAGGGCAGCAAGAAAUAAGCUUGUUUAUUUGUUCCUUGAGGCAGUGGUUCCCUGCAGGGCUUUGGUUUGAGGGUGUGCAGUGAAUGCCCCUGGAUGCCUCGUUUGAAGGAGUUGGUCCUAAGGGAAAGGGGCCUUUCUUGCUGGGGCUCCAGGAUGAGAGCCGGGCAGGGAGAGGGCCUGCUUGCUUUGCAUCCUUCACACCUGGCAACGGGCUGCUCUGUCUUCCUGGUGAGCUGAGCGCAGCGCACCUCGUGGCUUCCCAGUGGGAAGACCUCCCACUGCAUGCAGAUAGCACAGCGCCUAAGCGAAUGCCCCCUUUUCCCCUGCCAGAUUUCUCUGCUUGGGUCCAAAGGCCUUGGAGAUAAGGGGUCCAGCGGGCCCAUCCUGAGUAAGGCUGAGUUUGUGGAGAAGGUGCGACAGAGCAACCAGGCUUGUCACGCGGGUGACUUCCACAGAGCCAUCCUGCUCUAUGGCGAAGCCUUGGGGGUUGAUCCCCAGAACUGCAUCCUCUACAGCAACCGCUCCGCAGCAUACAUGAAAACCCAGCAGUAUGACAGAGCUCUGGAAGAUGCCGUGAAGGCCCAGCUUCUGAACCCCAAAUGGCCAAAGUUGCUCCUGAGCACAGGAACCGCUCUGCCCAGCCUCUUGGGGUGCCAUUGGGAUCACGAGGUAGUCUGCCAUAAGCUCCUUGGAGGAAAGGAGGAGACGUGAAAUGGAACUGGAGUACCGUUUCCGUGGCUAGCACGUGGAUGCCGAGUGAAGAAGUGACAGCUUCUUGGAUCAGACGCACACUGACUAUGUGGAUAGAAGCAGGGAAGGGGGAGGUGAGAGCCUGGAGAGCAGUAGAUGGGGGGUCUUUUUCUCCCUCUCCCCCGGUGGUGGAGCUGGAUUCAGGCAGACAGAAUUAACGCCCUUCAUCCCAUCACGAAUCUGCUUUAUAACCUUGGCUGCCACAGGAACCUUGCAGGACUCCACACCCUCGUCGUUACGGUCAGAGACGGGUGUUCCUCUCUCUUCCACCGGAUUUCCUACCUGCCUACUGCCUCUCCACUGCGUAAAACUUUGCAGUUGAAAGGGGAGCCCUCCCUAGUUCUACUGAAUGUCUGCAUGGUGUCCGUGUGUGCGUGCACCCCUCUCCCUAAGAUUGGGGGUCCUGUCCUGCAAUCUUCUGGGAGUCUUGCAUGAAGAAAAGCCAGACACAUAACGGACUGUGGGCUGAGGGAAGAUGGCGCAGCUUUCAUCCUGCCCCUCUCAGCCCCAGGAAUUCGGGAUGUUCUUUGGAAGGGAAAUUUGAGCUUUGGCAUGGGUUUUUAUAGAUUUGUCGCUGCCUCUGGGUCUGCACUAGAAAGAGGCAUCACCAGUGCUUUUGGGUACAAAACCCAUCUCUGAACUGCAGGUAGAGAGCGUUGUGGAAAACCCACAAGAGCUGAAGGCACAUGGACCCCGUUCUUGCCUGAAAUGGAGAUGGCCAAGAUGGCUCCUCCCACAGAGCAUUAACCCCCCUCAUGCCAAGCCACUGAAGCUGGACUGGGCCAAGCUACAUUAUUCAUACCUUCUGCACUGAGUGGACUGGGCACGUAGGCCUAGGCUGCAUCUUCAGAUUUCUGACAGGGAAUGUGUGAAAUGCUUUGGAUAGAUUUUAGGCCUGAUUGGAGCAAACAGAAUGCCUCUCUGCUGCCAACUCAUUUAAAACCCAUUUUAACAUGUCCAGAUUGAAACAGAACUGCAACGUUGCCAGUGUUGGCCAGUCGGCUUCCCAGCCCACAGCUGCUGUGCUGGAGCCGUGAGAAAUGCUAGAAAUAGUAGAAGCACUCGUUGAGGGAGAAGGCUCUGGGAGGCAUGGAAGCUUUGCAUGUUCUUCGAGCCAGAUUUAUGGGGAAGUGGGUGCUAUAUAAGGUUGAGGACCGUGGAUGCAGCCCACAGAAGCACGGUGGCACUCAUUCAGAGUGUGUCCUCCAGCACCCCAUCACUAAGGGUAAAGGCUGUACGUUGGGGUUAUGAGAGGAGAAGUCUGCAGGAAGACUUAUUGGCCCCAGGAAGAUGAGCCCGAAUGGACAGAGUUUAAAUAGUCAAGUGUUGCUAAUGCUUGUGGGGAGAGCCUUGCACGAGAAUAAGAAUCCAGAAGAAGAGGGGGGUCUUAAUCCAGUAAAAUCCUACCUCUUCCGUAGCUUCUUUGUGUCCUGCACAAAAUUGUUUUGUAGCAUUCCAAAAACUGACCUGCUUCCCACUGCGGUUCAAGGGCAGCUCCUCCAGCACUGCAGGCAACUUCUGAGGCUUGGCAAACGCCUUGGUUUGCCUCCCAAGAGAGCCUCUGGACCCUGGACUCAGGGAUGGAGCCGAACCCAGGGGAGGAUCCUGGCAUUCCGCUUCGCUGCUGUCUCGAAUAGCUGUGCCAACUGCCCUCCUCCUCCUGGAAGAACACCCCUGCGGACUGAUCCCAACACAGGAGACCACUUCCCCAGCCCGCACUCUGCGCAAGAGCCAAUGGGAGAAUACAUUUUUAAUCCAACAGGCCCUUGAAUUGCAGAAAAUCUUUCAUGCGAGUAAGAAUAUGUGUUUUACUGAUGUUUUAACAACACUGCUGUUUUGCUUUUCUGUGAAAUCGAAAACAAGAUGGCUGAAAGGAGUUAAAACAAUCAGCUUGGACCAAAUACUGUAGAAAUGCUUUGCAGAACUUGCCAUUUGUCACUCACCCACAUGAAGAAAAGAUGGAGAAUGCAAACCUCUCUGGCUUUCUGUUCUGCUCAUCUCAAGAGCUGCUGGCUUUAUCGCUCUUUCAGGCAGAUCUUUGGUGGGUAAAAGCUGUAGACACCGACAGGAUUCACGGGGCUUCAUUCAGGCUGCAGGAACGCUGAGCUGGUGGUCCGAUGGUGCCAAUGCAGGCUGUGCCCGGCCAGCUCACAAGCAUCCAUACAGAAAGGAGACGGUCUUAAAUAGGGCAUCCCAAGGAAUCGGGCUGACAACUGGACUUUGGCAGGCGUUCUGGGGAGAGAGCAGGCAGAGGCUACCUGGAAGAAAGUGGACCACGCUAGUUUACAUCGAGCCUGUAAACAUUGUUCGGGGUCUCUCUUGGCAGCCAAUCUCUCAUAUUUUCUUACCUUGCCCAAAGGAUGCUGGCUCAGUGGUCACUCAGCGUUUGGAUACCUCUUCACAAUGGCUGUGGGGCUCCGUCACAUUGUGCAAACUGGUUCAACCGUUUCCUUUGCACAGUGCUCCUCUUCCCAUCCAUGCCAACCUCCUGCAUGGUGCCUUUUGGGGAGAGCAAGCCUCAAGGUGGCUGUCCUGGGAAAGAUGAUGGGUCCUUUCCCUUCCUGUGAUUCAGCCAGCUCUCCGCGCCUGCUGGUCGCUCCUCUCGGCCACUCAGAUCGCAUUGGGGAACCCCAGUGCGGACCAGGAAGGGCCUGGUCUGGAGGGUGCUUAGCACUGCUCCACGUGCCCACGAGGGAGGGUAACACUGCCUUGCUCCUGACAGCGGCCCCUGUCCGAUGGCUGUGCUGCUGGUGGUCUGUUGCCUGCUGCUCAAAAGGCUUUUUUACAACCAGGCCAGGUAGGGAAGAGUUUCGGAAGGUGAGCCCUCACCACAGCCAAGGGGGAGAUUGCAGCCAGUGUCUCAAGGAUGCCAGGGCGGGGGAGGCAAUCUUGCCUCCCAGCUCUUCUGCCAUCAGAAAGGUCUUGCAGAGCCCCCCCCCCCUUCUCUCCUUGCAAGUACUGCCUUCCCAUUUUUGGUCACCAGCAUGGCAGAAUAUAAUUUUUAAGGGGUUUGAAGUUCUCUCUGCUGUGGCUGGUUACUUGCAGUCCUAAAUGUGUGGACUGAUUGUGCUCAGUGGGACUUACUCCUGAGUAAGCACUCCCAGGAUUGCCUUGCUGAAGACGCUACCUUCGGGAGCCGCAAAGAGCAAAGUUUUUCUCCUUUGAGAACGAGAAUUGCAGUGAUGUGACCUGUGUGGCCUGAACUAGGCACUUCCUCCUGGGCUGACUCUGGAUGAGGGCCUGCCUAGCACCCCUCCCUUCAGUUCCAUGUGCCCCGGUGCAGAACUGCAGGGCAUGGUGGCCUUUGUCUCCACCUUGCAUGCCGCUGUGGAGGGAGGGUCCUGGAAUUUCUGCCAAGGUUUUGCCAGGAGCCUGAUUGGAGGGGGGCUUGUGUUCCCCCUUGGAGCAGUUGGAGGGAGAUGGGGGAAAGUGGGGUUCUUCCUGCAGAAAUAGAAGCUUUGCCUCCUGUUAAAAUGUUUCAUCUGGAUAAUUGUACAGUAAAGGGCAUUUGAUGCUGGGUUGUA